GGUUUGAUUAUGGCUCAGGAUGAACGCUAGCUACAGGCUUAACACAUGCAAGUCGAGGGGCAGCAUGAACUUAGCUUGCUAAGUUUGAUGGCGACCGGCGCACGGGUGAGUAACACGUAUCCAACCUGCCGAUGACUCGGGGAUAGCCUUUCGAAAGAAAGAUUAAUACCCGAUGGCAUAGUUCUUCCGCAUGGUAGAACUACUAAAGGAUUUCGGUCAUCGAUGGGGAUGCGUUCCAUUAGGUUGUUGGCGGGGUAACGGCCCACCAAGCCUUCGAUGGAUAGGGGUUCUGAGAGGAAGGUCCCCCACAUUGGAACUGAGACACGGUCCAAACUCCUACGGGAGGCAGCAGUGAGGAAUAUUGGUCAAUGGACGAGAGUCUGAACCAGCCAAGUAGCGUGAAGGAUGACCGCCCUAUGGGUUGUAAACUUCUUUUAUACGGGAAUAAAGUGAGGCACGUGUGCCUUUUUGUAUGUACCGUAUGAAUAAGGAUCGGCUAACUCCGUGCCAGCAGCCGCGGUAAUACGGAGGAUCCGAGCGUUAUCCGGAUUUAUUGGGUUUAAAGGGAGCGUAGGCGGACGCUUAAGUCAGUUGUGAAAGUUUGCGGCUCAACCGUAAAAUUGCAGUUGAUACUGGGUGUCUUGAGUACAGUAGAGGCAGGCGGAAUUCGUGGUGUAGCGGUGAAAUGCUUAGAUAUCACGAAGAACUCCGAUUGCGAAGGCAGCUUGCUGGACUGUAACUGACGCUGAUGCUCGAAAGUGUGGGUAUCAAACAGGAUUAGAUACCCUGGUAGUCCACACAGUAAACGAUGAAUACUCGCUGUUUGCGAUAUACAGUAAGCGGCCAAGCGAAAGCGUUAAGUGUUCCACCUGGGGAGUACGCCGGCAACGGUGAAACUCAAAGGAAUUGACGGGGGCCCGCACAAGCGGAGGAACAUGUGGUUUAAUUCGAUGAUACGCGAGGAACCUUACCCGGGCUUGAAUUGCAACUGAAUGAUGUGGAGACAUGUCAGCCGCAAGGCAGUUGUGAAGGUGCUGCAUGGUUGUCGUCAGCUCGUGCCGUGAGGUGUCGGCUUAAGUGCCAUAACGAGCGCAACCCUUAUCGAUAGUUACCAUCAGGUUAUGCUGGGGACUCUGUCGAGACUGCCGUCGUAAGAUGUGAGGAAGGUGGGGAUGACGUCAAAUCAGCACGGCCCUUACGUCCGGGGCUACACACGUGUUACAAUGGGGGGUACAGAAGGCAGCUACACGGCGACGUGAUGCUAAUCCCUAAAGCCUCUCUCAGUUCGGAUUGGAGUCUGCAACCCGACUCCAUGAAGCUGGAUUCGCUAGUAAUCGCGCAUCAGCCACGGCGCGGUGAAUACGUUCCCGGGCCUUGUACACACCGCCCGUCAAGCCAUGAAAGCCGGGGGUACCUGAAGUGCGUAACCGCAAGGAGCGCCCUAGGGUAAAACUGGUGAUUGGGGCUAAGUCGUAACAAGGUAACC
rnacentral:rRNA from 1 species